rnacentral:lncRNA from 1 species
AUCCAGUGGCCAUUCCGCUCUUCCCCCAGGGCGCCCCGAGUCUGGUAGUCAUUAAAAAGACAUAGCCCUUUAAAAGUGUGACACCGUCUUCCUUAAAGAGCCUGAAGCAAUGGCCCCAAAGAUAUCAGGACUCCACCUCUAGGACCUGAGACGGUGACCUUAUUGGGGAAAGAACUUUUUGUAGACUGUUGCCUUCAGAGCUCAGCCUUGCCUGAAAUCCAUCCACUCAAGAGCAGGUUCGCAAAGGGGAAAUGAAGGUCCACGGCAGAACGUGAAGAGGAAAAUGCUUUUCCAAACCCAGGCUGAGGGCUGAGCCACGAGGUUGCCUGAUCUUCCCAGGUCCUCGUUCCUGAAUCCUGAUGGCCCAGGCAGUGCCUCUCCACCCAGCCCCCCGCCUGCCCAGACUCUGCCUCGGAACUAGAAGACUCUUCAAAAGAAAAAAGGGUGAAGUGAGCCAUGAGCAGAAGCUGGAAACAAAUAGUCCCCCUUUAGAUGUAGGUCAGCACUUCUCCACUGGCCCAACGCACACCAUCCCCCGUCCAGGAGGCGUGUCUGUUCAGCGGCACUAGCACCUCGCCCCAGCCCCUGCCGAAGGCAUCAAGCGUGGGCGAGGUCAGCCUCAAAAAUGAUUCUCCAAACGCGUUGGAUCUCCAGAUGCCUUCCGCGUAGAAAGCUAGGAUUCAUUUAUGAACAACCCGAAUCCGUUUCCCUGUAGGAGCAAAGGAGAAGAACGUGUCGUCUCCUCCAGACGGGGACACGGAGAAGGGGUGGCGUGAGGUCCCCUCUCAGAGGGGACGCGGGUCCUUUGGAAGAUGUGUCCUCGCCGUCUCCAGGGAACUGGAGGGUGUCAGCUCCUCUGAAGCGAGUAUGCUGGUAAACGGAGAAUUUUCAAAGAAUUGGCUUUUUAAACAUUCAGUACCCAACGCGUUGAUGGACAAGUUCCACGUUAACUCAGUUGAAACGGCCAGCCUCCGACUGUCGGGUUGCUUGAUGUGACAAACCCAGCUCUAUGGCUGUGGCUGUAGACGGAGACGCUCACGUAAUGUGGGACGCGUGUUGGAUGCGGUGACUCUGCCACCUCUCGGUCUUUCGUAUCUGUCAGUCCGUGGGUCACAUCUAUCCGUCUUUCAUCUCCCCAUGGCUCUAUCCCAUCUCCACUCUUCCAUCGCUCAGGAGCUGUGUAUCUAAUAUCAUCUGUCCACCCCCCGUCAUUGAUCUGCUCCAACAUCUCUCUACCACUGAUUGCAUCUGUAAGUCAUUCUUCUAUUUAUCUAUCAUUUUAUCUAUGUAUAUGUCUGUCCAUCCGGCCAAAAUAUCUAUUUAUCUAUCAACUGUCUGUCCAUCCAUCUUAUCUGUCUACCUAUUUCUCUAUCUUUUUAUCCAUCUAUCCAUCUCUAUCUAUAAUCGCUGUAUCCAUCUGUAUGUCUGUCUGUCUGUCCAUCCAUCCAUCAUAUCUUUCUGUCUGUCUGUCUUUCUAUCAUUGAUGUCUACUGUCUCUCAUCUAUGUCUGUCUGUCUAUCUAUCAUCUAUCUGUGUCUAUCAUCGAUCCAAUCAAUCAUUCACAGACAUGCCCUCACUCAUUCUGCUGUUACCCUCGUUCUUCCAAUGAAAACCCACCUGAUGAAACCCUUAGUUACCUGAGGAAGGGCUGCAGCCCUAGAGAUGGAGCUGAGACGUGGCCCUUCCUACCUCUUUCCUGAAAGUGAUGCGACUCCCGGCCAGUUACGUUUGACCUGCUCCAGGGUCGUGGUUACACGUAUUCGCUCGCAUACACAACCGUAGUCAUUGGUGUCGUGGGUCCAUAGACUACUCUGCGGUAACUCAGGCAGCGUUGUCAGUUUGGGUAUUUCAUUUUAUUCCCCUUAUUAUUGUUGUGUAGAGUCCUUGCAGACACCUGUUGAGCACACGUUUGAAUGUGGGAAACACUUCUCUCUGAUGGAGCACGGGAGGUGAAUUGCAUAUGUGUGAGCUUCCUAGGCACAAGCAUCCUUGGACACUGGGAUUUACAGGAUCGGCGGCUUCUGGGGAAGCUCAUGGAGCCCACAUCAGUGGGCUGUUACCUGGGACCAGAACUUCUCCUCAUGGCUGAAUCAGGUCCCGUGUUUUGCUGUGGACGUAGUCGUCUGUUACCUCGGAUGUGUGUGAACUAUUUGACCUGCUCUGGAUGCUGUUCACACCGCAAUUCAUGUUGCCAUCACUCCCUCCAGAGACAAGAUGCAAAGGAAUCGGUUUCACCGUGGGACACAGCCCAGGGCUCAGAGCUCCAUUGCCAUGGCAGAUAAAAUCCAGAGAGGAAACAUCGGGGCUGUACCCGUGGACUCAAGGACUCAGCUCUGCCCUGCGGUGGGCACGCAGAUGGACAUAGCCUCGACGGGUGGACGUGGUUGUGGGCGCGUGACAUGAGGAGCCAGAGACACGCAGAAUGAGGUUUCUCCUGAGCAGGAAGCGUGCCCGUGAGCAACCAGCUGAGAAGUCGACCCAUCACAUGUGAAAAUGAGAAAGUCCCGUCGAGGCCAGACCCCGCUGUCCUUGGAAAGGUGUUGAGUUGAUUUCUUCCAAGGGGUGAGGGAGCAAUUCAGGUUCCCUGCCCAGCGGGUGCUCUGCCUCCCUAGUUCCGGAGGCUGGACUUUCAAGACCUGCUGAGAGCCAUCUUCCUGGUUCAUCAAUGGACGUUCUCUCCAUCAGGACAGAGACAAGACAGUUCCUUCUUACCCGUGAGAGAUACAUGUAUUGUCCAUGACUCCGCAGGAAAUUGAUUCCCGAACCCGAUGCAGAGAUGGGGAAGGGGGGAGCCAAAAGAAGGGUUUGCUGUCCAUCUUUGGCGCCAGAGGAAAGUCAGCCCCCAGAAGCUAAGCACUGAGAAGUCCAAUCUUCCACAUCCAGGGGUUUCCAGAUUCCCACUCGUGUAAGAAAUGCAGCGUGAUGUCCCAGUUUUCGUGUUUUCUUGAGAUGUGGUCCCCUUGGAGGAGCUUCCCCUGCCAGGAUGGAAUUUGAGAGCUUUCGGCUCGAGAAGAAGGGAAAUGCCCCGAACAGCCACCCGCCAGGCCCCUUGUGGCCGCUGAGAAGUUGGGGAGGAUGCAGCCAUAAAGGAGGAUGUGAAAAGUAGGCGAGAUCGCAAGGCACGAAUCUUGGAAUCUUCGUGUUUCAUCAGGAAGGCAGAGGAGGAAGGAGUCUGCGAGGUGCAGCCGCCUCUUCUGACCUCAGGAUGGAUGGAGAGGGCGUGAAGGACCCGUCAGUGACCAGCUGUUGCACAGAGAGCCCAGGGGAAGGGGGUGCCCUGGCGGGCACAUGGGAACCGAUGCUGCAGCUCAUGAAAGUUGGAGGAACAAACUGCUUUGUCCCAGGAGAAGAGGAGCAGGAUGGAACGGACGCCCGCUGUAAUCGUGGGCGGAACCGGAGGGACGGAUGCAACGCUUGGCGCUUCCGAUUCUGACAGUGGCUGACCUCACGGGAGAUGGAUGGGAAGGGUCCAGAUGUUCGAUGAGGAAACGGAGGCCACUAAGUGUUGUGUAACGUCCCAAGGGACCCAGCUCUGAAGCGGUGGAGUCAGAAUGGGUUGCUUAACAGCCACCCCCACCCUCGGCUCGGAAGACGUCCACACCCAGUUGAUCCCUGGCCUCGCUCGGCGAGUUAAGGAUCUGGUGUUGCCACAGGCUGUGGUGUAGGUCACAGGUGCAGUUCGGAGCCUGUGUUGCGGUGGCUGUGGUGUAGACUGGCAGCUGCAGCACUGAUUCGACCCCUAGCUCGGGAACUUCCAUGUGCUGCGGGG